GACGAACGCUGGCGGCGUGCCUAAUACAUGCAAGUAGAACGCUGAAGAGAGGAGCUUGCUCUUCUUGGAUGAGUUGCGAACGGGUGAGUAACGCGUAGGUAACCUGCCUUGUAGCGGGGGAUAACUAUUGGAAACGAUAGCUAAUACCGCAUAACAAUGGCUGACACAUGUCAUUUAUUUGAAAGGGGCAAUUGCUCCACUACAAGAUGGACCUGCGUUGUAUUAGCUAGUAGGUGAGGUAAUGGCUCACCUAGGCGACGAUACAUAGCCGACCUGAGAGGGUGAUCGGCCACACUGGGACUGAGACACGGCCCAGACUCCUACGGGAGGCAGCAGUAGGGAAUCUUCGGCAAUGGGGGCAACCCUGACCGAGCAACGCCGCGUGAGUGAAGAAGGUUUUCGGAUCGUAAAGCUCUGUUGUACGUCAAGAACGGGUGUGAGAGUGGAAAGUUCACACUGUGACGGUAGCUUACCAGAAAGGGACGGCUAACUACGUG
rnacentral:rRNA from 1 species